ACAGCAGCAGCCACGGUAAUACGGAGGGUGCAAGCGUUAAUCGGAAUUACUGGGCGUAAAGCGCACGCAGGCGGUCUGACAAGUCAGAUGUGAAAUCCCCGGGCUUAACCUGGGAACUGCAUUUGAAACUGUCAGGCUGGAGUCUUGUAGAGGGGGGUGGAAUUCCAGGUGUAGCGGUGAAAUGCGUAGAGAUCUGGAGGAAUACCGGUGGCGAAGGCGGCCCCCUGGACAAAGACUGACGCUCAGGUGCGAAAGCGUGGGGAGCAAACAGGAUUAGAUACCCCAGUAGUCCCUGUCUCUUAUAC
rnacentral:rRNA from 1 species